rnacentral:rRNA from 1 species
AAUAACGUCCCGGUUACGGGGGAAAGUAUUUAUCGCAAAGGAUCGGCCGCGUCUGAUUAGCUAGUUGGUGAGGUAAUGGCUCACCAAGGCGACGAUCAGUAGCUGGUCUGAGAGGAUGAUCAGCCACACUGGGACUGAGACACGGCCCAGACUCCUACGGGAGGCAGCAGUGGGAAUAUUGGACAAUGGGCGCAAGCCUGAUCCAGCCAUGCCGCGUGAGUGAUGAAGGCCUUAGGGUUGUAAAGCUCUUUUGUCCGGGAAGAUAAUGACUGUACCGGAAGAAUAAGCCCCGGCUAACUUCGUG